CAGCAGCCGCGGGAAUACAGAGGGUGCGAGCGUUAAUCGGAUUUACUGGGCGUAAAGCGUGCGUAGGCGGUUUUUUAAGUCGGAUGUGAAAUCCCUGAGCUUAACUUAGGAAUUGCAUUCGAUACUGGGAAGCUAGAGUAUGGGAGAGGAUGGUAGAAUUCCAGGUGUAGCGGUGAAAUGCGUAGAGAUCUGGAGGAAUACCGAUGGCGAAGGCAGCCAUCUGGCCUAAUACUGACGCUGAGGUACGAAAGCAUGGGGAGCAAACAGGAUUAGAGACCCCGGUAGUCCCUGUCUCUUAUAC
rnacentral:rRNA from 1 species